GGAAAAAAACGCCGGAGUCAAGAUUUUGAGGGGUGAUGGGAUCAGUCAGAGGCAUGUUCUUAUUGAAUGACCUCAAACGCUUCAAGUGCUUGUUCUCGUUCUCGUCAACUGCUUGCAUUACAGAAAAACUAACCACUUGCAAUUAAUUUGCAAGAGAGCACGAACCAAAACCUUCAAAUGAAAGACCCAGAAGAAAGGAAAGAUUAGAAAAUAUAAAAAUACAAUCUUAGAGCAUCAAAUGAACUAAAAAUAAAAACAUGACUUACAGUGUAGAUCUUUCCCCUCCAUUUUCUCAGCAAUCAAAUGAGAAAAUAACCCAUUUUCAAACAUUCAAACUUCUUGCCAUACCCAGCUGAUUUUCCUC
rnacentral:lncRNA from 1 species